AUUGAACGCUGGCGGAAUGCUUUACACAUGCAAGUCGAACGGCAGCACGGACUUCGGUCUGGUGGCGAGUGGCGAACGGGUGAGUAAUGUAUCGGAACGUGCCCAGUCGUGGGGGAUAACGUAGUGAAAAUUACGCUAAUACCGCAUACGAUCUAUGGAUGAAAGCGGGGGAUCGCAAGACCUCGCGCGAUUGGAGCGGCCGAUAUCAGAUUAGGUAGUUGGUGGGGUAAAGGCCCACCAAGCCAACGAUCUGUAGCUGGUCUGAGAGGACGACCAGCCACACUGGAACUGAGACACGGUCCAGACUCCUACGGGAGGCAGCAGUGGGGAAUUUUGGACAAUGGGCGAAAGCCUGAUCCAGCCAUUCCGCGUGCAGGAUGAAGGCCCUCGGGUUGCAAACUGCUUUUGUACAGAACGAAAAGGUUUCUGCUAAUACUAGGAGCUCAUGACGGUACUGUAAGAAUAAGCACCGGCUAACUACGUGCCAGCAGCCGCCGUAA
rnacentral:rRNA from 1 species